GCAUUAUACCGUGAAACUGCGAAUGGCUCAUUAAAUCAGUUAUCGUUUAUUUGAUAGUACCUUACUACUUGGAUAACCGUGGUAAUUCUAGAGCUAAUACAUGCUAAAAACCCCGACUUCGGGAGGGGUGUAUUUAUUAGAUAAAAAACCAAUGCCCUUCGGGGCUCUUUGGUGAUUCAUGAUAACUUAACGGAUCGCAUGGCCUUGCGCCGGCGACGGUUCAUUCAAAUUUCUGCCCUAUCAACUUUCGAUGGUAAGGUAUUGGCUUACCAUGGUUUCAACGGGUAACGGGGAAUUAGGGUUCGAUUCCGGAGAGGGAGCCUGAGAAACGGCUACCACAUCCAAGGAAGGCAGCAGGCGCGCAAAUUACCCAAUCCCGACUCGGGGAGGUAGUGACAAUAAAUACUGAUACAGGGCUCUUUUGGGUCUUGUAAUCGGAAUGAGUACAAUUUAAACCCCUUAACGAGGAACAAUUGGAGGGCAAGUCUGGUGCCAGCAGCCGCGGUAAUUCCAGCUCCAAUAGCGUAUAUUAAAGUUGUUGCAGUUAAAAAGCUCGUAGUUGAACCUUGGGCCUGGCUGGCCGGUCCGCCUCACCGCGUGUACUGGUCCGGCCGGGCCUUUCCUUCUGGAGAGCCGCAUGCCCUUCACUGGGUGUGUUGGGGAACCAGGACUUUUACUUUGAAAAAAUUAGAGUGUUCAAAGCAGGCCUUUGCUCGAAUACGUUAGCAUGGAAUAAUAGAAUAGGACGUGCGGUCCUAUUUUGUUGGUUUCUAGGACCGCCGUAAUGAUUAAUAGGGAUAGUCGGGGGCAUCAGUAUUCAAUUGUCAGAGGUGAAAUUCUUGGAUUUAUUGAAGACUAACUACUGCGAAAGCAUUUGCCAAGGAUGUUUUCAUUAAUCAGUGAACGAAAGUUAGGGGAUCGAAGACGAUCAGAUACCGUCGUAGUCUUAACCGUAAACU
rnacentral:rRNA from 1 species